rnacentral:rRNA from 1 species
GACGAACGCUGGCGGCGUGCCUAAUACAUGCAAGUCGAACGCAGUGGGGACGGGUGAGUAACACGUGGGUAACCUCCCAUCAGAGGGGAUAACACUUGGAAACAGGUGCUAACCCGAUACCGAUGGAUGGACCCGCGGUCCAUUAGCUAGUUGGUGAGGUAACGGCUCACCAAGGCCCCGAUGCAUAGACGAGUUGAGAGGGUGAGCGGCCAAACGGGAACUGUGACACGGCCCAGAAGCCUACGGGAGGCAGCAGGAGGGAAGCUUCGGCAAUGGACGAAAGUCUGACCGAGCAACGCCGCGUGAGUGAAGAAGGGUUUCGGAUCGUAAAACUCUGUUGUUAGAGAAGCGGUAUCUAACCAGAAAGCCACGGCUAACUACGUGCCAGCAGCCGCGGUAAUUC